AUAGAGAGCAUCUUGCUGUCUAUCCAUCAUCGUCCCUGGCUCAUGGGAGUUUAUGUCUUUGUCGUUGGACUUCCCGUCAUUCUCUUCAUAAGCUUCAUGUGGCCUGAUAAGAGGUUUGGACCACCUGAUCAACCAUAUUAUUAUAAGAAGUCUGAUGACAUUCAACCAGAUGAUCCUGAGACCUCACCGCUGAGGAAGUCAACAGACAAUAAAGGAAGCAGCAGAGAGAUCUCACCAGAGAAAACCAAAUCAACUCACAAAAGGAAUCUGAGCAAA